rnacentral:tRNA from 1 species
GUUUUAAUAGUUUAUAAAAAACAUUGGUUUUGUAAACCAAAAAUAAAUUUGAAUUUUUAAAACU